rnacentral:rRNA from 1 species
AGAGUUUGAUCAUGGCUCAGAGCGAACGCUGGCGGCAUGCUUAACACAUGCAAGUCGCACGGGCAGCUUCGGCUGUCAGUGGCGGACGGGUGAGUAACGCGUAGGUAUCUAUCCUUGGGUGGGGGACAACCGUGGGAAACUACGGCUAAUACCGCAUGAUAACUGAGGUUUAAAGGCGCAAGUCGCCUGAGGAGGAGCCUGCGUACGAUUAGCUAGUUGGUGGGGUAAAGGCCUACCAAGGCGACGAUCGUUAGCUGGUCUGAGAGGAUGAUCAGCCACAUUGGGACUGAGACACGGCCCAAACUCCUACGGGAGGCAGCAGUGGGGAAUAUUGGACAAUGGGCGCAAGCCUGAUCCAGCAAUGCCGCGUGUGUGAAGAAGGUCUUCGGAUUGUAAAGCACUUUCGGCGGGGACGAUGAUGACGGUACCCGCAGAAGAAGCCCCGGCUAACUUCGUGCCAGCAGCCGCGGUAAUACGAAGGGGGCUAGCGUUGCUCGGAAUGACUGGGCGUAAAGGGCGCGUAGGCGGAUGACACAGUCAGAUGUGAAAUUCCCGGGCUUAACCUGGGGGCUGCAUUUGAUACGUGUCGUCUGGAGUGAGGAAGAGGGUCGUGGAAUUCCCAGUGUAGAGGUGAAAUUCGUAGAUAUUGGGAAGAACACCGGUGGCGAAGGCGGCGACCUGGUCCUUGACUGACGCUGAGGCGCGAAAGCGUGGGGAGCAAACAGGAUUAGAUACCCUGGUAGUCCACGCUGUAAACGAUGUGUGCUGGAUGUUGGGCGACCUAGUCGCCCAGUGUCGUAGCUAACGCGAUAAGCACAC